AAGGAUUUAAGUUAUAACAAACUAUUAACCUUCAAAGUUAACAAAAGAAUAUUUCUAAGCCUUA
rnacentral:tRNA from 1 species